CAGUCGCCACGGUAAUACGUAGGUGGCAAGCGUUGUCCGGAAUUAUUGGGCGUAAAGCGCGCGCAGGUGGUUUAAUAAGUCUGAUGUGAAAGCCCACGGCUCAACCGUGGAGGGUCAUUGGAAACUGUUAAACUUGAGUGCAGGAGAGAAAAGUGGAAUUCCUAGUGUAGCGGUGAAAUGCGUAGAGAUUAGGAGGAACACCAGUGGCGAAGGCGGCUUUUUGGCCUGUAACUGACACUGAGGCGCGAAUGCGUGGGGAGCAAACAGGAUUAGAUACCCCAGUAGUCCCUGUCUCUUAUAC
rnacentral:rRNA from 1 species